CAGUGGGCGUGGCGUCAGGCCUCAGAGAGGCUUUUAUUAACAGAAAUCAUAAAACAAAGGGAAUAAAAGUGGCCAAAGGGGGAAAGUGUCCAAAAUAACAGGGAAUCUGGUGUCCUCGUCGUGCUGCGGGAUUUGUGUAGGUCGGGCAGUGUUCAUCAAGGAAGGGUCCAGGCAAGGGGCGGAGUCCGGCGGCCGCACGCGCUCCCCUCCUUGGUCCGGGGCGCGAGGGGCGGCGGCUUCUCCUAGCGGCCGCGUCUCUCUCGUUGGCCGCGGCGCUGGUAGGGGAUGGACGGCCCGGCAUCCUGGCCCGUCGGCCGUGUAUACGGGUGCGGUUCCCAUCCGGAUCGCGGGUCCGGCAGCUCACGUCUUGGUGGCGCGGGAGUCCCUCAACGCACCCUUCCUGGACCCACGAGGACACCAGUGUGCAUGCACGGGGAAGAGACCGGUCUCCUGAGGAGAGGCGCGUUGGGCUUUUAAACAGCGGCGGUAAUGAGGCUCCACUUCCUUCAGGUGUGCCCCAUCACACGCCGCCGGCCCUGACUCGUCCAGCGCCCCUCCUCUCACACACCCACUCCAGUCGGGAGCCUGGUGAAGGGCGGCGAUUUAGGACGGGGUGCCGGUGAUAAUCAGGGAGGAGGCAGCUGACUCGUCACAAUAUAUAUA